AUGCCUUCGGGCAAUUUUUCCAAGUCCAAUGCAUACAAUCAAUGCUACCUAGCAUGCCAGGCCAACCUCUCCUCUCAUUAGAUGCCAUCAAAUUCUUUGUGUCAUCCUCGUUGGGUGCCCGAAGAUAUUCAAGACCAAAGACACGGAUGAUCACUUUGGAAAAUCUACGCAAUGACUCAAUUGUGGUAUCUUCACCAAUGCGAAGGUACUCAUCGGCAUAGUCAGCCGGAACGACAUAUGCAAUCACCUGCAUAGCUGCUGAGAUUUUUUGAUAUGCACUAAAUCCACGCUGUUUAACUCACUGAAAAACAUAUCAUUAGCAUACUUUAUACUAAGUUGGGAAUGUCAGCGCUUGAAAAAUGGUUAGCAACUUGAGUCCUUGUAGUCCACACUUACAUAAACUUGAAUGUAAAGACGUCACAACCGUGCCUGGUUUCACAUGAAUAAAGGAAAAAAAAACAUAAAAUAAAAUAACCAACAAUGUAAAUCAAGAACAGAAUAUAAAAUAAAAUUAGGUCAGCCAUACUAAAAAAACUUACUUAUUAGUCCGGUUGGGAACAGCUAGGUAGACAACGUCAAAUAUUUCAAAAUCGAUUCGUACAAGAGAAGAUCAUACACAAGACGAUCCACAGGUCAGAAAUCAUUCAAUUCCAACUUAUUUUCUCAUGCCUACUGAUUUUUUAUGAGAUCUAACAGCCCGUAAAAUCACAAGACUGAAAAGCAGAGAUCACAAAUUCUUUCUCUUCCACACAGUCUAUUGCACAGAGCACUCCAGUCAAGUUAAAAAUCAAAGAAACUGGUCAGUUUCGUUUCAAAAGCAGUAGGGUAAAAGAAACUAAAAUUUACAGUAGCAAAAAUACUGAAAUUACUAUUAUCAAGCUGCUGAAAUUACUAGGCAAGCAGAAAUUCUUGUGCACGACAAAGUUUCUGACACAAAGGUUGAUUCAGUAUAUAUUGACAGUGUGAUUAGAUGCAACACUACCCAACAAAGGCACUGUGAUUUACAGUCUAAUUAGCACUGUAGUUUUACUGAGAUUACACUGUAAUUGCACUAACUAUAAACACACUAAAUAUCCCAGUAUAAUUACAGUAAAAAUUGCACUGUGAUUACUGGAAAUUACACUGAACAACAUUGUAAAUUAUGUGAAAUUGCACUGUAAUUACAACAAAAUAGCACUGUGAUUUACAAUGUAAUUACCCUGAAAAUUACACUGUGAUUACUCUAAAAUUACACUGUAAAUAAAAUGGAAUUACAUUCAUGAAGCUGCUGUAAACUUAGAUGCAAUACUACACAAAACAUAGAAAAACAGAAGAAAUGGUUUUAAAUUGGAUGCAAAUACUACCCAAGAAAGACAAACCACAAAGAAAAGGGUUCCAAAAUGCUUGCAGAUCCAACAUAAAGAAAUCCCUAGGAAAAAAAUUGCAUUGAAAAUUUUAUCUCUACUAUUAAAGGAGAAUCGAAUAUCGUGAUGGUUCGACCUCUUAUGGAUACAUCAUCCCGCUCCCGAUUCUUCUUUUCCCACGGUUAAAAAAAAAUCUGGGAAACCAGCCCACCACUCCCCACGUUCCGCUAUAGAACCACGUCCGACCUCCCCCUCUCCCCCACCUCUCGGUCCCGAUCCUGUCUCUCCUCCCGAAAAAGAAUCGCCGCCGCCUACCUCGGUACCACACCCCCACGCGCUCCCUCGCCGGCCCAGAUCUCGACCCGCGGCUACUCCCGUCCCCCUGGUCGUCUCCGAGUAGAAGAACCCUAAGGUCGAUGGUAUCGUCGUCUUUGUCCUUAGAAGGCGUUGCCUCGAGGACGGCCCAGCGCGCGGUUUCGCGGGAGAGCCCGGCAACAACGACGCUGCUCACUGGUAAGGGUAGCGAGGCCGCGCAGCAGUCGAUCUAGGCGGCGAGGGAGAGGGAUGUCGAUGCGGAUGCCACGACGACGACAACCUCGUCAUGGGUGACCGCGACAUCGAUCCAUCUGAUGGUGGGAGCGCGGGCGGGCGCGGGUUUGACGAGGAGCUAGGAGGAGGAGGACGGUGUGAGGAGGAGCUUGUUCAGCAGCACUGCUCAGGCCCCCAGCAACCACAGGUUGAAGAUGUCUGUGAUGGUGUUCAUCUGAGAUGUCAUGCGGGGCGCAUCUUUUUGCUGCUGGUCACCCGAGAUGUCAGUGACACUUGAAGAUGUAUCAAAAUCUGUCGUACAAAAUAAAGGAGCACCCAGGACGAUGACUUCCAUAUUGGCAUGUAUGAUUCUGGUUCGGCCGUGGCCUCUGAUAUCCCAGGGUGUGUGUCCUGUUAUGUUGGGUUUGCUAUGAUUUGGGUGCGGCUAGCUACACAGCAUCCGCGGGCCAUGCAUGUGACAUGCAUGCUAGCUAGGUAUUUUUGACUCUGGUGGGGCGGUGCCGGAACCGCCUACGCUGGUUACGACCGCCGUGGCUAUGCUUGAAGUCAGAAUCACCACGAUGACGGUAGUGACCGCACUCAUAUCAAAACGGCAGCCACAGUAUGUGAUCAGGCCUUUACUAUCAUCCUCUGAAUUUGGGAUCACCUGCAGGAGAAAGAGCGCGAGAGCCUAAGAGGGUAGUACAACAUUACGAACAAGUUGUUUUUUAUCCAUGUAAUUGAUCUGAUACGAAGCUGAUGCCACAUAAAAGGAUAACUGAGUUCUUAUCUCCAGUA